GGCGUGCCUAAUACAUGCAAGUAGAACGCUGAAGAGAGGAGCUUGCUCUUCUUGGAUGAGUUGCGAACGGGUGAGUAACGCGUAGGUAACCUGCCUUGUAGCGGGGGAUAACUAUUGGAAACGAUAGCUAAUACCGCAUAACAAUGGAUGACACAUGUCAUUUAUUUGAAAGGGGCAAUUGCUCCACUACAAGAUGGACCUGCGUUGUAUUAGCUAGUAGGUGAGGUAAUGGCUCACCUAGGCGACGAUACAUAGCCGACCUGAGAGGGUGAUCGGCCACACUGGGACUGAGACACGGCCCAGACUCCUACGGGAGGCAGCAGUAGGGAAUCUUCGGCAAUGGGGGCAACCCUGACCGAGCAACGCCGCGUGAGUGAAGAAGGUUUUCGGAUCGUAAAGCUCUGUUGUAAGUCAAGAACGGGUGUGAGAGUGGAAAGUUCACACUGUGACGGUAGCUUACCAGAAAGGGACGGCUAACUACGUGCCAGCAGCCGCGGUAAUACGUAGGUCCCGAGCGUUGUCCGGAUUUAUUGGGCGUAAAGCGAGCGCAGGCGGUUUGAUAAGUCUGAAGUUAAAGGCUGUGGCUCAACCAUAGUUCGCUUUGGAAACUGUCAAACUUGAGUGCAGAAGGGGAGAGUGGAAUUCCAUGUGUAGCGGUGAAAUGCGUAGAUAUAUGGAGGAACACCGGUGGCGAAAGCGGCUCUCUGGUCUGUAACUGACGCUGAGGCUCGAAAGCGUGGGGAGCGAACAGGAUUAGAUACCCUGGUAGUCCACGCCGUAAACGAUGAGUGCUAGGUGUUGGAUCCUUUCCGGGAUUCAGUGCCGCAGCUAACGCAUUAAGCACUCCGCCUGGGGAGUACGACCGCAAGGUUGAAACUCAAAGGAAUUGACGGGGGCCCGCACAAGCGGUGGAGCAUGUGGUUUAAUUCGAAGCAACGCGAAGAACCUUACCAGGUCUUGACAUCCCGAUGCUAUUUCUAGAGAUAGAAAGUUACUUCGGUACAUCGGUGACAGGUGGUGCAUGGUUGUCGUCAGCUCGUGUCGUGAGAUGUUGGGUUAAGUCCCGCAACGAGCGCAACCCCUAUUGUUAGUUGCCAUCAUUCAGUUGGGCACUCUAGCGAGACUGCCGGUAAUAAACCGGAGGAAGGUGGGGAUGACGUCAAAUCAUCAUGCCCCUUAUGACCUGGGCUACACACGUGCUACAAUGGUUGGUACAACGAGUUGCGAGUCGGUGACGGCGAGCUAAUCUCUUAAAGCCAAUCUCAGUUCGGAUUGUAGGCUGCAACUCGCCUACAUGAAGUCGGAAUCGCUAGUAAUCGCGGAUCAGCACGCCGCGGUGAAUACGUUCCCGGGCCUUGUACACACCGCCCGUCACACCACGAGAGUUUGUAACACCCGAAGUCGGUGAGGUAACCUUUUGGAGCCAGCCGCCUAAGGUGGGACAGAUGAUUGGGGUGAAGU
rnacentral:rRNA from 1 species